rnacentral:rRNA from 1 species
CCCUUAGAUGUCCUGGGCCGCACGCGCGCUACACUGACAUGUUCAACAAGUUUCUCCUAGUUCGACAGGACUGGGAAAUCUUUGAACGCAUGUCGUGAUAGGGAUAGAUCAUUGCAAUUAUUGAUCUUGAACGAGGAAUUCCUAGUAAACGCGAGUCAUCAGCUCGCAUUGAUUACGUCCCUGCCCUUUGUACACACCGCCCGUCACACCUACCGAUUGAAUGUUUCGGUGAAGAUUCCGGAUAGGACUGAUUUGAUUUAUUUCAUUUCUGACCUAAAAGCUAUCUAAACCUCAACAUUUAGAGGAAGGUGAAGUCGUAACA